rnacentral:rRNA from 1 species
UACGAAGGGGGCUAGCGUUGUUCGGAAUUACUGGGCGUAAAGCGCACGUAGGCGGACUACUAAGUCAGGGGUGAAAUCCCGGGGCUCAACCCCGGAACUGCCUUUGAUACUGAGAGUCUCGAGUCCGGAAGAGGUGAGUGGAAUUCCGAGUGUAGAGGUGAAAUUCGUAGAUAUUCGGAGGAACACCAGUGGCGAAGGCGGCUCACUGGUCCGGUACUGACGCUGAGGUGCGAAAGCUAGGGGAGCGAACGGG